UACAGAGGUCUCAAGCGUUGUUCGGAUUCAUUGGGCGUAAAGGGUGCGUAGGCGGCGCGGUAAGUCGGGUGUGAAAUCUCGGAGCUUAACUCCGAAACUGCAUUCGAUACUGCCGUGCUUGAGGACUGGAGAGGAGACUGGAAUUUACGGUGUAGCGGUGAAAUGCGUAGAUAUCGUAAGGAAGACCAGUGGCGAAGGCGGGUCUCUGGACAGUUCCUGACGCUGAGGCGCGAAGGCUAGGGGAGCAAACAGG
rnacentral:rRNA from 1 species